CUCUUCGUCGAUUUGAAAGCUGCUUUUGACAGCACGAAAAGAUCAUGACGUCUUAAAAAUGGGCUAAACGACUCUCAGAAAUUAUAUCAUCCCUUUUGGAAAACCCGAUAUAUGCAAAUAAUAAUCUUAGCAUGUACCAUAUAAGUUGAAAAACUGUAUUUCCAGCGAAAAUGUAUCUUAACAAUAAUAAUAAUCGUAUAUACAUACA